CAGCAGCCGCGGUAAUACGGAGGGGGCUAGCGUUGUUCGGAAUUACUGGGCGUAAAGCGCACGUAGGCGGUUAUUCAAGUCAGAGGUGAAAGCCCGGGGCUCAACCCCGGAACUGCCUUUGAAACUAGAUGACUAGAAUCUUGGAGAGGCGAGUGGAAUUCCGAGUGUAGAGGUGAAAUUCGUAGAUAUUCGGAAGAACACCAGUGGCGAAGGCGACUCGCUGGACAAGUAUUGACGCUGAGGUGCGAAAGCGUGGGGAGCAAACAGGAUUAGAUACCCCCGUAGUCCCUGUCUCUUAUAC
rnacentral:rRNA from 1 species